UGAAUAGUCAGAAAAAUAGGUUGAUUUCCUUGCCGGGGCACCGGAGGGAAAUCAUUAAAAGGGAAGUUCGGUGAAAAUCCGACGCGGUCCCGCCACUGUGAAUGGGAGUUUCCCGGCGUGAUGCCACUGUUUGCCUCGCAAACGGGAAGGUGCCGGGAAAUGAUGAUCAUGAGCCAGGAGACCUGCCUAUUUUUCAUGACGUAAA
rnacentral:ncRNA from 12 species